rnacentral:rRNA from 1 species
UGGGGAAUCUUGCACAAUGGGGGAAACCCUGAUGCAGCGACGCCGCGUGAGUGAAGAAGUUAUUCGUAAUGUAAAGCUCUAUCAGCAGGGAAGAAGAAAGACGGUACCUGACUAAGAAGCACCGGCUAAAUACGUUCCAGCAGCCGCGGUAAUACGUAUGGUGCAAGCGUUAUCCGGAUUUACUGGGUGUAAAGGGAGCGUAGGUGGUAUGGCAAGCCAGAAGUGAAAGCCCGGGGCUUAACCGCGGGAUUGCUUUUGGAACUACUGAACUAGAGUGCAGGAGGGGUAAGCGGAAUUCCUAGUGUAGCGGUGAAAUGCGUAGAUAUUAGGAGGAACACCGGUGGCGAAGGCGGCUUACUGGACUGUAACUGACACUGAGGCUCGAAAGCGUGGGGAGCAAACAGGAUUAGAUACCCUGGUA